rnacentral:lncRNA from 10 species
AGUUACAAAUAUGGCGUUUUGGACGGGCUCGAUAGUUUGCUUGGCCUCUACUCAAGCAAGCUGCCCUGUUGUGAGCUCUCCGGUGGAGAGCCCCACAUGGCAAGAAAAUGAGAAGCCCCCUGAACAGACAAGAGCUGAGGCCCAGGAUACAAUAUCCUGAAAAAAACUGAAUCCUGCUGACAGUUGCCCAAGUGAAGCUGGAAGUGGAUCUUUCUGCAGUGGAUCCUUGAGAUGACUGUAGCCCUGGCUGACAACUUGAUUGCUGCCUGUGAAGGACCCUGAACCAGAGGACUCAGCGAAAUUGUGCCCAGAUUCCUGACCUACAGAGGCAGUGAGAUAAUAAAUGCUGUUGAGGUCACAAAGUUUUGAG